AGUGGUAAAGAAUCCGCCUGCCAAGAAGGAGACUCAGGAAAGAUCUCCAAGCAAAGGAGAAAGCAUGAAUUCUCCUUUUGUUGGGAGAUGGCAGUUUUCAGUGAGAGUUGCAGCAUUUCAUGAAUAUUCCCUAUGUGUCUAUUGCUUUUCCAGACAUCAGCUCUGAGAUCUUUGAAACGUCACAUGUUAUUUUCUAUAUUUAGUGGUGUUUCUGGUUUUAUAGGAAUCUGGAAUACUAGGACAAUCGUAUCACUAAUACAAAGCCCUGGCUCCUUGUUUCUGUGACCCUCUGUCACAAAAGGACAAAGGCUUCCUGUUCCCCCUUGUCCUUGGAGAUCACGGGCAGCAGUCUCGGCUGUGUGAGCACACAUCUCAUUCUGGACCUGGAUGCUGCUUGCCUGGGCAGUUCACAGCCCUCCUGGAGGAGCCAGAUAGAACUUGGACAGAGUCAGAGGAGCCCAAGAGGGUGAUGCGAAGCUGGAGACCCAGUUGAAGGAUCUGGCUUAGAAGAGGCAGAGACGCUUCAUUUAAAGGAGAAAAAGUAGAAGAUAACUUCACAAGAAUCUAAGUUUAUGAUGAAGUAUCCAUCUGCAUGUCCAUGGGUGAGGGUAGAUAGACACGGUAUGCCCAUGGAGGAAAUUUCCUCCAUGGUGGGUGCCUUUCAGGCUGGUGAGAAUGCUGCAGGCUGAGGCUGGACCAAAGACAGAAAUCAGAAAACACGCCCCACUCUCAUGGUUCAUUCAUUGUAGCCCAAAGACUUAAAGCUUUUAAAAUGUCAGACAGAUAUUUGACUUGAGAGAGUGAAAAUUUAAAAAGUAAAUUAAAAACAUACUUGUAUUUAGAAAUCAAUUUUAUAAUCCCAUGAAAACUUUCCUAUGUUUCUCUUAAUCAAGCCUGGAAAUGAAAGUAAUCUUAACAUUUGCUUGCUUAACAGAUCUGUGUGACUGUAUAGCUAUUUAUGGAAUUUGUUGUAAAAACAGAGAAGGAGAACUAUCAAUACUUGACAAAGUUAAGCAGUCUGGCCAAAAGAGAGAUCCUUUUUAUUAUUGGAAAUCACUUUUUUUUGACUUGCGUUUUUCUCUGGCUUAACUCCCAGGUACGUGACAGUCUUGUAAUUGAAGGGUAAGCUGGGUUUCAAGUGUCAUUUCACAGUGUCUCCCCCCACUUUUCCUCUACUUGUCCCCAGUCAAGACUCAUUGACCUAAAUUCUCCAUCUCUGGCAGAGGUCCUUCUAACUCAUCUUACUGAAGUUUUCUCCAUCUCGAUUACUGUGCCUUUUUUUUAUAGGGAACUUUCCUUUGAGAUCAAAGACAAUGUAUAGCAAUUUAUGGGAAAUAAAGGAAGUAGGAGAGGAUGCCAAGUCAUUUUAAGGGAAGGAGGGUCUGAAGAGGUGAAUAUGUGGGAAGAUCUGGUC
ensembl:lncRNA